rnacentral:ribozyme from 14 species
UUUUUUUUCUUUUUUUUUUUUCCUUCUUCUCUUCGUGCUUCUCUCUACCAUUCCGCUCC